UUCGCAGUGGCUCAAUGGUAGACCGAUCAGCUGUUAGCCGAUUGGUCGUAGGUUCGAAUCCUACCUGCGAAA
rnacentral:tRNA from 1 species